rnacentral:rRNA from 1 species
UGGAAGUUUGAAGGGUGUGUGGUGGAUGCCUUGACUCUGUAGAGCGAUGAAGGACGUAGCAGUCGACGAAAUGUUUCGGGGAGCUGACGAGCAAGCUUUGAUCCGAAAAUGUCCGAAUGGGGAAACCUAUCUGUCUUCGACAGAUAUCUCGAACGCGUGUUCGAGAAGUGCACCUAGGGAAGUGAAACAUCUCAGUACCUAGAGGAAAAGAGACCAACAGGAUAUCCCGGUCUCUGUGCGAAUUUAUUUGCAUAGAGACCGGGAUUCUGGAAUUCCCCGAGUAGCGGCGAGCGAAACGGGAUAAGCCCAAACCUACGCAUCACAUGGAAUGUGAUGCUGAAGUUCAGAGUACAGAGUUCCGAGUCCAGAGAAGUUUAAAACUCUCAACUCAGAACUAGGAACUCAGAACUGAUGCAUCGUGCAUCAUGUGAUGCGUGGGGGUUGUAAGGCGAUGACGUUCCAUUUAUGGAAGGAAAGUUAACAAUGAUUGUCGUAGCAGAAUCUGCUGGGAAGCAGAACCCUAGAGGGUAACGGUCCCGUAUGCGAAACGACCAAUCACUUUCUUGUUGUCGUUCUUGAGUAAUCCGAGACAUGAAUAGCUUGGAUGAAUCUGCCGGCACUAACCGGCAAGGCUAAAUAUCUACAGAGAUCGAUAGUGAACCAGUACCGUGAGGGAAAGGUGAAAAGUAGUCCGGUAAGGACAGUGAAAUAGUUCUGAAACCACACAUCUACAAGGAGUCGAAGAGGUGCUUGCACCUCGACGGCGUGCCUAUUGAAGAAUGAGCCGGCGAGUUUACGUACACGGCAUGGCUAAGACCGUAAGGUUGGAGCCGAAGGGAAACCGAGUGUGAAUAGCGCGUUUAGUCGCGUACGUAAGACCCGAAGCCAGGUGAGCUUGCCAUGAGCAGGGUGAACCUUUUCGAAAGAAAAGGGGAGGCCCGAACCCGUAGAUCGUACAACGUCUUGGGAUGACUUGUGGUAAGGAGUGAAAAGCUUAUCGAACCUGGUAAUAGCUGGUUCUCUCCGAAACAGCUUUUGGGCUGGCGUCUGAUGUUCCUCCUGGGGGUAGAGCACUGGAAGGGUUAAACAGGGAGCAAUCUCGUUAACCCUAUCAAACUCCGAAUACCAGAGAGCUAGAAUCAGGCAGUUAGACGAUGGGGGCUAAGCUCCAUACGUCGAGAAGGGAAGAGCCUAGAUCUCAAGUUAAGGUCCCUAAAUCCGCGCUGAGUGCAUCAUAAGGAAGUGGAAAUUCUGAAACAGUGAGGAUGUUGGCUUAGAAGCAGCCACCAUUUAAAGAAAGCGUAACAGCUCACUCACCGAGAAUUUCUGCGCCGAAGAUAAUCGGGGCUAAGCACGGUACCGAAACUGAGGGAUUAUUUUUGUUUCGACAAAAAUGAUCGGUAGGAGAGCGUUCCAAACCGCGAUGAAGGAUAAGGGGUGACCCAUUCUGGAGCGUUUGGAAGUGAGAAUGCCGGCACAAGUAACCACAAUACGGGUGAGAACCCCGUACGCCGAAAGACCGAGGUUUCCUUGGCACUGAUAAUCAACCAAGGGUUAGCCGGGCCUAAGCAAAUGGCGAAAGCCGAACGCGAUGGACACAGGGUUAAUAUUCCCUGGCCUCGCACCAAUGCGAUGGAGAGACGGAGGGCUGUACAUGCCGCACACAACUGGAUGUGUGUUCGUGCCGUGAGGAUAUCUUCUAGGAAAAUCCGGAAGAAACUACUUUGAUGUAGGCUAUCCAAGCGGAGCGGAAAUGCGCUGAUUCGUCAGCGUAAAUGGCAUGGAGCGCGCUUCCAAGAAAAUCUUCUAAGCUUCAGUUGGUGUGAGCCCGUACCGCAAACCGACACAGGUGGUCUGGUCGAGUAGACUAAGGCGAACGAGUGAGAGGUCCUCAAGGAACUCGGCAAAACAGCGGCCGUAACUUCGGGAUAAGGCCUGCCUCCUAUUAAUUUAGGGGGCCGCAGCGAAAGAUUUCCAAUCGACUGUUUACCAAAAACACAGCUCCCUGCGAACUCGCAAGAGGAUGUAUAGGGGGUGACACCUGACCAAUGCCAGAAGGUCAACUAAGGAUGGUGCAUGGUAGCAAUACUAUGUGCUGGUCUUUAUAAGCCCUGGUCAAUGUCGGCGAUAACUAUAAUCGUCCUAAGGUAGCGUAAUUCCUUGUCUGGUAAGUUCAGACGUGCACGAAUGGUGUAACGAGUUGGAAACUGUCUCGAGGACUUGCUCGGUGAAAAUACAGUACCGGUGAAGAUGCCGGUUACUCAUAGUUAGACGAAAAGACCCCAGAAGCUUUACUGUAGCUUCGUAUUGGGAUUGUGACGCAUAUGCGUAGCAUAGACGGGAGAGGUUGAAGCAACGGUUUCGGUUGUUGUGGACUCGCCAGUGAAAUACCGUUCUUAUGUGUUGCAAUUUCUAACCUCAGGAUAAACACCUGGGAGACAGUGCGUGGCAGGCAGUUUGAGUGGGGCGCUCUCCUCCCAAAAAGUAACGGAGGAGCCUACAAAGGUCAGCUAGGCGCGAAUGGAAACCGUGCCGGUCGUGUAAUGGCACAAGCUGGCUUAACUGUGAGAUGUACAUAUCGAGCAGACACGAAAGUGGAGCAUAGUGAUCCGACCUUAUGCAUUAGAUGCAGGGGAAGCCCAACGGAUAAAAGUUACUCUGGGGAUAACAGGCUAGUUGCGCCUAAGCGUCCAUAGCGACGGCGCAGUUCGGCACCUCGAUGUCGGCUCACCACAUCCCGGAGCUGGAGAAGGUUCCAAGGGUAUGGCUGUUCGCCAUUUAAAGUGGUACGCGAGCUGGGUUCAGACCGUGAAGCAGUUCAUAGUUGCGAGUUCCUAGUUCUGAGUUUUAAAACUCUAGACUCUGAACUCAAUACUCUGGACAAUUUCACAGUCUGAACCCCAUAGAGAGAGUUAUUGAAAGUUUUUUCGUCUUAGAAAUAUAAUAUUCGAUUUUUAAAUCGAAGCCCGAUUACUGGUCGGGUGAGAAGAGUCAAUCAUAAUCACGGCGGUCACCUAUAGGAAUGUGGGUGAAGAAAUCAACUAAUAUCGAUGAAAUCCUACUUUGGUAGGACAAUAUCGAAGGAAUGAGUUAGUUCAGAGUUUCUAGUUUUGAGUCCAGAGUUUUUAACUCUAGACUUGGAACUCAGUACUCAGAGCUGCUUAGCCUCGAGAGACUGAAUGUUGAUCAUCCAACACAAUUUUUGUAAAAAAAUUGAAGGAUGAAGUUACAGUCCGACUCCCAAAGUAAUUUGGGGUUCCGUAAGGAACGCUCGUGUGUGUUUCUAACACACACGAAACGAAGUGCGUGAGACAGGUUGGUCUCCUAUCUACUAUGAGCGUUGAUACUUGAGGAGAGUCGUCCUUAGUACGAGAGGACCGGGAUGAACUGACCUCUGGUCUAUCUGUUGUUCCGCCAGGAGCAUUGCAGAGUAGCUAUGUCGGGAAGGGAUAACCGCUGAAAGCAUCUAAGCGGGAAGCCUCCUCCAAGAUUAGGUAUCGUUGAGACUCGUGAGAGAUGAUCACGUUGAUAGGCUUUAAGUGUACAUGCAGCAAUGCAUUGAGCUGAGAAGUACUAAUUCGUCC